rnacentral:rRNA from 1 species
AGAUCCGUAGUCGAAAGGGAAACAGCCCAGACCACCAGUUAAGGUCCCCAAAUAUAUGUUAAGUGGAAAAGGAUGUGGGGUUGCUUAGACAACCAGGAUGUUGGCUUAGAAGCAGCCACCAUUGAAAGAGUGCGUAAUAGCUCACUGGUCGAGUGACCCCGCGCCGAAAAUGUACCGGGGCUAAACAUAUUACCGAAACUGUGGAUGAACCUCUUUAGAGGUUCGUGGUAGGAGAGCGUUCUAAGGGCGGUGAAGUCAGACCGGAAGGACUGGUGGAGCGCUUAGAAGUGAGAAUGCCGGUAUGAGUAGCGAAAGAAGGGUGAGAAUCCCUUCCACCGAAUAUCUAAGGUUUCCUGAGGAAGGCUCGUCCGCUCAGGGUUAGUCGGGACCUAAGCCGAGGCCGAUAGGCGUAGGCGAUGGACAACAGGUAGAGAUUCCUGUACCAGUGCUAAUUGUUUAACCGAUGGGGUGACACAGAAGGAUAGGGAAUCGCACGAAUGGAAAUGUGCGUCCAAGCAGUGAGUGUGAGAAGUAGGCAAAUCCGCUUCUCGCGAAGCAUGAGCUGUGAUGGGGAAGGAAAUUAAGUACGGAAGUUCCUGAUUUCACGCUGUCAAGAAAAGCCUCUAGGAAGAGUAGUACUGCCCGUACCGCAAACCGACACAGGUAGAUGAGGAGAGAAUCCUAAGGUGAGCGAGAGAACUCUCGUUAAGGAACUCGGCAAAAUGACCCCGUAACUUCGGGAGAAGGGGUGCUCUAUUAGGGUGCAAGCCCGAGAGAGCCGCAGUGAAUAGGCCCAGGCGACUGUUUAGCAAAAACACAGGUCUCUGCAAAACCGUAAGGUGACGUAUAGGGGCUGACGCCUGCCCGGUGCUGGAAGGUUAAGAGGAGUGCUUAGCUUCGGCGAAGGUACGAAUUGAAGCCCCAGUAAACGGCGGCCGUAACUAUAACGGUCCUAAGGUAGCGAAAUUCCUUGUCGGGUAAGUUCCGACCCGCACGAAAGGCGCAACGAUCUGGGCACUGUCUCAACGAGAGACUCGGUGAAAUUAUAGUACCUGUGAAGAUGCAGGUUACCCGCGACAGGACGGAAAGACCCCGUGGAGCUUUACUGCAACCUGAUAUGGAAUGUUUGUACCGCUUGUACAGGAUAGGUAGGAGCCGAAGAGACGUGUGCGCUAGCAUACGAGGAGGCAAUGGUGGGAUACUACCCUGGCUGUAUGACCAUUCUAACCCGCCACGCUUAGCGCGUGGGGAGACAGUGUCAGGUGGGCAGUUUGACUGGGGCGGUCGCCUCCUAAAGAGUAACGGAGGCGCCCAAAGGUUCCCUCAGAAUGGAUGGAAAUCAUUCGCAGAGUGUAAAGGCACAAGGGAGCUUGACUGCGAGACUGACAAGUCGAGCAGGGACGAAAGUCGGGCUUAGUGAUCCGGUGGUUCCGCAUGGAAGGGCCAUCGCUCAACGGAUAAAAGCUACCCCGGGGAUAACAGGCUUAUCUCCCCCAAGAGUCCACAUCGACGGGGAGGUUUGGCACCUCGAUGUCGGCUCGUCGCAUCCUGGGGCUGUAGUCGGUCCCAAGGGUUGGGCUGUUCGCCCAUUAAAGCGGCACGCGAGCUGGGUUCAGAACGUCGUGAGACAGUUCGGUCCCUAUCCGUCGCGGGCGCAGGAAAUUUGAGAGGAGCUGUCCUUAGUACGAGAGGACCGGGAUGGACACACCGCUGGUGUACCAGUUGUUCCGCCAGGAGCAUCGCUGGGUAGCUAUGUGUGGCAGGGAUAAACGCUGAAAGCAUCUAAGCGUGAAGCCCCCCUCAAGAUGAGAUUUCCCAUUUCUUCGGAAAGUAAGAUCCCUGAAAGAUGAUCAGGUAGAUAGGUUUGGAGUGGAAGUGUAGCGAUACAUGGAGCGGACAAAUACUAAUCGAUCGAGGACUUAACCAAAA